rnacentral:rRNA from 1 species
GACGAACGCUGGCGGCAGGCCUAACACAUGCAAGUCGAGCGCACCCUUCGGGGUUAGCGGCGGACGUGUGAGUAACGCGUGGGAACGUGCCCUUCUCUGCGGAAUAGCCUCGGGAAACUUAGAGUAAUACCGCAUACGCCCUUUGGGGGAAAGAUUUAUCGGAGCAGGCUCGGGCCGCGUUGGAUUAGGUAGUUGGUGGUGUAAUGGCCCACCAAGCCGACGAUCCAUAGCUGGUUUGAGAGGAUGAUCAGCCACACUGGGAAUGAGACACGGCCCAGACUCCUACGCGAGGCAGCAGUGGGGAAUCUUAGACACUGGGGGCAACCCUGAUCUAGCCAUGCCGCGUGAGUGAUGAAGGCCUUAGGGUUGUAAAGCUCUUUCAGCUGGGAAGAUAAUGACGGUACCAGCAGAAGAAGCCCCGGCUAACUCCGUG